ensembl:lncRNA novel transcript
GCUCGGCGUCCCGCGUCCUCCGCGGCUCAGGACGACUACGCUCGGCACGUCCGGGACCCUCCGGCCGUGGCGGUUGCAGCGCCAAAAGCUCGGGCCUCAGCCCCUGACGCUGUGGUGACUCCGCCGCGCCUCGCCGUCGCCCCUGUCCCCGUCCUGCCCGCCGCCUCCGCCGCUGGGGACAUGUCCAACCCCGGAAGCCGGAGGAACGGGCCCGUCAAGCUGCACCUGACAGGACUUCCUGAUCCAUUUGCUAAGGUGGUGGUUGAUGGAUCUGGGCAAUGCCAUUCUAUAGAUACUGUGAAGAAUAUGCUCGAUCCAAAGUGGAAUCAGCAUUAUGACCUGUAUAUUGAAAAGUCUGAUUCAGUUACAAUCAGUGUAUGGAAUCACAAGAAGAUCCAUAAGAAACAAGGUGCUGGAUUUCUCCGUUGUGUUCAUCUUUUUCCAGUGCCAUCAACCACCUCAAAGACACUGGUUGUGAGUAGAUACUACUGCUUUUCAAAUUUUAUAUAUAUAUGUGUGUGUGUGUGUGUGUGUGUAUGUAUGUGUGCAUAUACAUAUGUGUGUGUGUAUAUGUAUGUGUGCAUAUACAUAUAUACAUGUAGUAUAUAUGUAUUCUCAAAUAUAUAUGAAGGAUAUAUAUAUUUGAGUAUGUUGGUAGGGGUUCAAACAUAACUUCUUGUGUAUGUCUGAAACAUUGGUAAAAAUUCCUGGUCUAAAUUUAUUUUGUAGACUUAAAAAAAAUGAAACGUUUUAAAUAUGUGAAACUUACAGCUAAAUGAGAGCUGAUGCUUCAUUUCCAGUUAAUUUAAAAGUAUUAAGAAAUGAUUGAUAUCUAGAAUGGCAAAAAAAAAAGGUGUCAGGAUUUACAUACCUUUUAAAAUUUCUUAGUACCCUUUUCUGGUUGUGGUGGAUUUGUGGACAACAUGUUUUUAUUUAGGUGAUUGGGGUCUUUAAGGUGGCAGUUAAAGAGCAAUUACGAAGGGAUAAGAAUGGUAUAAUAUAUAAAACUGCUGUGACAAAAUUAAAAGUUAAAGAAAGAUUAAACAUUAUUUUGAGUGUAUGACGGCUCUAUGAACUACUUAACUGUAGCUCAGUUUAUCAUCAACCUGGGCGUUUAGAAGAUUAGACCAAGAUCAAGACAUUAGAAGUGGUUUUCAUAAUGGAUUUAUAAGGUGACUUAGCAUAACCAGGUGACGGUCUUUUGGGUGGGUCUUUCCAUUGGAACAUAAAUGGGAAUUCCUUUUUCAACAGGUUUUCUGUGUGUGUGUUUGUUUCUAUAGAAUUCUUGUGUAUAUAAUGUAAAAAAUACUGUUAGUCUUUGUAAUGGGAUUUUAGCCCAGAUGCAUAUGCUAAACAAACUCACAUAAGAGCUAAAGAAAUUAAUAAACAGAAAAGGAGUAAAUUUAGCAUUGAAUGUUAAAUAUAUUAAGAGAUUGUCUCUUUUAAUGUAGUAUGAUACCACAGCAUAGGUAUAUAUUGACCUUGUGAAAAAGAAAAAGGCAGAAAACUGAGCUAGAAGUUCUUAGUCCAAGGUAUUUAAAGGCAUCUGAGAAGUUCUUGUAUUUCUGGGCUGACGGGGUAACCAACAGGAGAGAAAGGACAGUGGGAUUGGAAAAAACAAGUUGCACAUAAAAAUGAACUGUUUUCUUACUCAGCAAACUGAAAAAUUAUAGGUCAAACGUCUGACAUUAUCCCUAGUUCAAUUUAGCCAAUGUUUAUUGAAGACUUAAUGUGCUACUGUUCUAAACCCUGGCUGUAUAAAGGAGAAAGAGGCAUGAACCCUGUCCUCUGAGAAGGAAGGGCAAAGGCCUGCUGGCAAAGGGAGCAUGCCGCAUGGGAAGGACUGAAUAGGAGAGGAGUUGCUCUGCAGAAUCCACUGUGUAGCCAACUUAGCAGCACCCAUUUAUUUUGCAAAGAGAAAAGUGUCUGUAUUUUUGGUUGGAUAACCAGGGACUGUAGUUUAGGGGCAUGGAUUUUUCUUUGUGUUUCUUGUGACUGUUUCAUUGUAUUAAUUUAUUUGACUUUUUUCAUGUGCAGUAAUAUUGAAUUUAUCAAAUAUUUAUUGAGCACCUACCUGAUGCAAUGUUCUACUGGGUUGGAGUGGAAAAUACAAAGACUACGAUAUGGUCUCCUCCUUUUAUCAAUUCACAAAUAAGUAGACAGAUGGCAUACGGUUGUAAAAUUAUUCAGCUGUAAGUACUGUAAUCAAAGUAAAACCAGCAUGCUUUGGGUGACAUUGUUCCUUACUGUAACUUUCAGGGUCAGGCCAGUGUUAUAUCUCUUUUACAGAUGAGGCAUCUGAGAGAAUAAAUGAGUUGCUCCUGAAUGAAUUAGUGGCAGAACUGAUGCAAACCCAGAUUCUACAGUUUAUUCUUGGCUUCUUAUUAAUACUUUUUUGUGUGCAUGUCAUUUGAAAUGGUUAGUUAAAAAAUAAUAAUGACAGCUAACAUUUGUUGACCAUUCAUGUGCCAGGCACUAUGCUGUGAGUUUUGCAUAAUUAUCUGAUUUAAUCCUUAAAAAAUAUGAGGAUUCACAUAUUGCCAUAUAUGAGAAAACCAAGGCUCACGGAUAAAUUCCUUAAGACCAACAACUAUUAAGACAGACUAAAGUGGUCUAAAAGUUUUGGAGAGAAAGUGACUGCAUGUUGGCAAUGAAGUACACCAGUGUUUCGUAGUUUUUGAAAUCUGAAUUCUUUAAAUGAUAGGUUUGAUUUCUAAUGGAUUGUGGAAAUUUAUUGUCACUCUAUAGACAUGAGAAUCUCUGAUACCAGCUAAUGUUUUCAUUUCUUUCUUUGUUGAUUUCAAAUAGAUCAGAGGUUGGAUUUAUGCAAACCUGGGCCAAAGGACAGUUAGAAGACGAGCUAUCAGCUUCCCAGUUUGCACAAUUCAUCAAGAAAUAAUGCAGGGCCGCUGGCACAAAUGAUGAGGCAUCUCCCGGAAGCUUAACUUCCUAUCCAUCCCAUCUCUUGGACAGACGAUGCCAGUUAAUUACGUUGAAUGUAAGUAUUUUAUCCAAAAGCACUUAUGUGUCUAAACAAACUCCUACAAAUCAACACAAAAAUGGUAAAUAAUUCAACAGAAAAAUGGGCAUAAGCUUAUCUUUAUCGAUAAAUAAGUAGAAAGAAACCCUAUGCCAGGUAACACCAAAGCUUUGCCCUCUGUUGAAACAUCCUAGGCUUUUUCUUUCCACUCUUAUUACAACUGAUCUGAUUUAGCCCCUUCACACUUUACUCCUACAUUUUGCUAGACCUUUCUAUUUUGUCUCCCUGAAAUAAGCUUUUCCUUUUGGGCACUCUACAUAUGGAUUCUAAAAUAAUCCUUUGCAUGUCUAUACUUGAACAUAAAGCAAAAAAAACAAAAUAAAAUAAAAUAAUCUUCCUGUUUUAA